AUUGAACGCUGGCGGCAUGCCUUACACAUGCAAGUCGAACGGUAACGCGGGGCAACCUGGCGACGAGUGGCGAACGGGUGAGUAAUGCAUCAGAACGUGCCCAGUAGUGGGGGGAUAGCCCGGCGAAAGCCGGAUUAAUACCGCAUACGACCUACGGGUGAAAGCGGGGGACUCGCAAGAGCCUCGCGCUAUUGGAGCGGCCGAUGUCAGAUUAGGUAGUUGGUGGGGUAAAAGCCUACCAAGCCGACGAUCUGUAGCUGGUCUGAGAGGACGACCAGCCACACUGGGACUGAGACACGGCCCAGACUCCUACGGGAGGCAGCAGUGGGGAAUUUUGGACAAUGGGCGCAAGCCUGAUCCAGCCAUGCCGCGUGCGGGAAGAAGGCCUUCGGGUUGUAA
rnacentral:rRNA from 1 species